rnacentral:rRNA from 1 species
GUAGGUAACCCUAAAUACACUAAAGCCACCAAAUCCCAUCUGAUCUUGGAAGUUAAGCAGGGUCAGCCCUGCUUAGUCCUUGGAUGGGAGAUUGCCGAGAAUAUCAGAUGCUGUAGGCU